CGGGAGCCCCAGAGUGAGCGCUUGACAAAUGUUUACCGACUGCCCACGGGGUGCCCAGAGCCUGGCGGGACUUUGCUGGGUUGCGGCGGGAGGAAUCCGAGCCGGCCCUGCCCUCUUGGCACUCGCGGUCCGCACCAGGAAGGCGGCUGGAGCUGGACUGGGGGCUGCGGACCGCGAUGGGAAAAGUUGGGGGAGCCCGGAGGUGGCGCAGAAAUAGAAGGCUUCCUGGAAGCGGUGACCCUUGAGCCGGUCUUACCCCUCUGUCCCGGUCUCCUUUUAAGCCGAGCACCGUGGCCCCUCCGCGCCUUCCCGAGCCAGUUGCCAGCUAGUCUCUGCGCUCGCCAAUUCUUGGGCCUGGACCUCUCCCCGAUUACCACCCCGCGCCCCGCAGCGGGCGCCGCUUGCUCCUCCCAGAGACCUCCAAGACCUGCCAAGCUCGGAGUCUCCCUAAGUCACGAAGGCUGGAGUGCAGUGGCGUGAUCUCAACUCACUGCAACCUCCACCUCCCAGGUUUAAGUGAUUCUCUUGCCUCAGCCUUCCAAGUAGCUGGGACUACAGGCACCUACCACCACACCCGGCUAAUUUGUAUUUUUGGUAGAGACGGGAUGUUGCCAUAUUGGCCAAGCUGGUUUCGAAUUCCUGACCUCAGGCGAUUCACUCGCCUUUGCCUCCCAAAGUGCUGGGAUUACAGGGGUAAGCCACCACACCCAGACUAAAAAUAGCUUUUUAAAAACAAAUACAGAUUUUAAAAUAACUUCUUUUAGGCAGUCCAUCCCAUGGAAUUGGUGGCACUGACCUCAUCUGAUGUCCCAGAAAGCUGGCGACAAAAGUUCCCAUUCCCCUUGACAGACAAACAUUUCCACUCUGGGGCAAUUCCCGUCUGUCCAGAACACAAAUGCCCCUGCCUGUCUGGUGCGUCUCAGCAGCAGAAAAUUGUCAACCACAAAGCUUCCAGGGCAGGCAUUUAAAAUCAACCCACAGACCCUCCCCUUUGCAUGCUUCGGGCUCCGUGCAAUCUCUCAUAGCGUAGCUCCACACUCUUCCUCUCAGACAGGACUUGCAUUCAAACCUGGAAUUCUUCUAAGGGGCUCUGUGCAGGAAUACAAUCACCUCGAGCUUGUGUAAGAAGAAGAGAGCUCCAGUUACCAGGGGCUUCCGAAGGCUUUUAAUAGAAAACAUUUGUGCCAAA